rnacentral:rRNA from 1 species
UACGUAGGGUGCGAGCGUUAAUCGGAAUUACUGGGCGUAAAGCGUGCGCAGGCGGUUCGUUGUGUCGGCGGUGAAAGCCCCGGGCUCAACCUGGGAAUUGCAUUCGAGACUGCGUAGCUAGGGUGCGGAAGAGGGAAGCGGAAUUUCCGGUGUAGCGGUGAAAUGCGUAGAUAUCGGAAGGAACACCAGUGGCGAAAGCGGCUUCCUGGUCCAGCACCGACGUUCAGGCACGAAAGCGUGGGGAGCAAACAGG